GGAGAAGUAAAUCUGGACCAUCAAGAAGGACUGGCAGAUAUAUAUUUUAUAUUACACUGGCUGUUAUAAUAUAUUUUGCAUGAGUUUAUAAACACUCUGGAUUAUUGCUCAUCUCUCUUCUUCUCACAGUGUGUCCUGAUCCAGACAGAGCUGUACAGUGUUAUUCUGAUGAAUCAAACAUGAGAUACGACUGGAGUGUAGAAAGAAAAACACAUGAAAACUGCUGGAGCAUCAGAAACCACAGAACAGGCAAAAACAAGAGAACUGAAAGAAAAAUAGACGCCAGAAAUGAAACACAAACCACUGAAUCAGAAGAGAAUAUCAGACAGAGACUUGUGAGACGGAAGAGUAUGGACAGAAUAAAUCCAGACUUCUAAUGUGAUCCAGACGGGCCUGUAAAGAUUCAGUCUGAGUUCAGAUCUGAGGUGAGAUUCUCACAUCAAAACCCUUCAGAUGUUCUCAAGAACAAACACCAUUACUGAGACACCAGCAGCAGAAAACCUGAACAUCUUCAUCAUCAUCUUCAUCAUCAUCAUCUCAGACUGCAUCCAUCCAGACUACAAUCUGUUCAGCUCAUGGAUUCUUUCAGCUUUUUCAGACUCACAAACAAACAGACUCAUGAACGAACUCUUUCUCAGAUCAGUGUCUCAAUACUGCUGUCUUUGAUUUUGUUUUAUUAUUUUGUUCAGCUUUUGGUUUCGAUGGAUCACUUCGCCGCCGUUCACCUGCUUUGCCUUGAGCAGAAGAAGCGCUCCCUCGAGGAGCUUGUGGAGGAAUUCAGAUCACAUUCCCUGAGCUCGAUCCUGCACUGAACCCUGUUACACGAGCGCAGUUAUCUGGGAGGGUUUAUGUGGAGUGGGUGCUGGUUUCGUGUGAAUCAGCUUUCAGACGAAGACAAAGCGUUUGAGCUUGCCAUCGCCCUUGAGCCUGAGCCAAUAGAUGCGUCUCAACAGGUGUGUGAUCCGGCAACACCUCACCUGCCGGAGGAGUUUUACCUUUUUUGUAAAGUGCAUUUGACUUUUUUUGCAUGUUCACUUUGUAAACACUGGAUCGGUGCUUCUGCCUACAUCAAAUCAGCAUUUUGAUUCUUUCAGUACAUUGAUCCCCAUCGAAGUCCUCUAUAUGGAGAAAAAUCCUGGAAUGUUUUCCUCAAAAACUUCCAUUUCUUUGCGUCUGAAGAAAAAAGACAUGAACAUCGUAUUUAAGUUGCUCUCUUUCUGUUCACUAUGGUCUGGUCUCGUCAGUGCGUGGAUGUGUUGCUGGUUUCUUUGUGGAUUAUUUACAUGAGGAUUUAUUAAAGACGACCUUCGUACACUUGUGUGUUCAACAUCACCCGAUCCGUGACAUCUGCACUGAUGCUGCACUUUACUGACAACGUUUGAUCUGCAUCUGCGUCACACAGAGACUGUGUUUUACCAAAUAUUUUUCAUUUUGCACUGCCUCAUACAUUUCAUGUAUUAGGUAUAUUUUAAUAUUCUUGUAUAUUUUGACAUUUCUCAGAUUCUUCUCUGUAUAUGUUUGUACCCCUCUAUACCAUUUACUUUAUAUGCAUUUAUUAUUUGUCUUUUCACCAUAUAUUCUACAUUUAUGCAACAAGCACUGGACAUAAUAAUGGUUCAGUAUAUUUUAUCUGUAGAGUUGAAAUAUUUCUGAGUUUAUCAGGGAGAGCAGAUGCUUUUAAUGUUUGAGUCUUUGGUCAGGAUUUCAUUUCCUAAAUCCGACUGUGAUUUUGAGUCUGUGUAUUG